UGGUGCAAAGAUUAUAAUCUUUGCAGUGAUGGUUCCAGAAGUAAUUUUUGGGGGGGGCUAAUUUUAUAGUUGAAACUCUGUAAGGUGUUGAUAUAAAAUAGGUGGUGUCUGCUAUUGGGAUAUUGAUUUUGAAUGGUAUAUUCUUGAGUUUCGUACCAAAAUCAAUCUACCUGAGAUUCUAAGAGAAGCAGGCUUGGUUGCUAGACGUUUUUUAUCAGUCCGAUGCAAUAUAAUAAUACUACAAACUAUGGAAACGUCACUGACGUUUCAGAAACAAAAUAUUGCCAAAUAUUUAAGUCUUAAAAAAGAUGACCAAUAAGCCAUAUAUGUUCAACAUGUUGGUUGAGCAGUCAAUUAGAAAUAUAGCGAAAGCAGGGGUAUUUUCAGCUGUAUGUGGAUACCUCUUCUGGAAAUUCCGUUGCGAUAGGCAGAAGAGAAUUUAUCGCGAGUUCCAUGAGAAUUAUGAUAUCGACAAAGAAUUUGAGAGAAUGAGAGCUAAAAACCUGUUUCAAUCCUGUUGAUUACCUGAAUACUGAAAUCUGCUAUUGUUUGUUCGUUUUAUUAGCUUUAAAAAGACUAACAUUUUUAAUGUGUUUGCUCAAUAAACAUAGUUAUUUGUUAA